GACAGAGGGUGCAAACGUUGUUCGGAAUUACUGGGCGUAAAGCGCGUGUAGGCUGCUCUGCAAGUCGGAUGUGAAAGCCCUGGGCUCAACCUAGGAAGUGCACUCGAAACUGCAGAGCUUGAGUCUCGGAGAGGAUCGCGGAAUUCUCGGUGUAGAGGUGAAAUUCGUAGAUAUCGAGAGGAACACCGGUGGCGAAGGCGGCGAUCUGGACGAUGACUGACGCUGAGACGCAAAAGCGUGGGGAGCAAACAGG
rnacentral:rRNA from 1 species